rnacentral:rRNA from 1 species
GGUUAAGCGACUAAGCGUACACGGUGGAUGCCCUGGCAGUCAGAGGCGAUGAAGGGCGUGCUAAUCUGCGAUAAGCGCCGGUAAGGUGAUAUGAACCGUUAUAACCGGCGAUACCCGAAUGGGGAAACCCAGUGUGAUUCGUCACACUAUCAUUAACUGAAUCCAUAGGUUAAUGAGGCGAACCGGGGGAACUGAAACAUCUAAGUACCCCGAGGAAAAGAAAUCAACCGAGAUUCCCCCAGUAGCGGCGAGCGAACGGGGAGGAGCCCAGAGCCUGAAUCAGCAUGUGUGUUAGUGGAAGCGUCUGGAAAGGCGCGCGAUACAGGGUGACAGCCCCGUACACAAAAGCGCAUAUGCUGUGAGCUCGAUGAGUAGGGCGGGACACGUGGUAUCCUGUCUGAAUAUGGGGGGACCAUCCUCCAAGGCUAAAUACUCCUGACUGACCGAUAGUGAACCAGUACCGUGAGGGAAAGGCGAAAAGAACCCCGGCGAGGGGAGUGAAAAAGAACCUGAAACCGUGUACGUACAAGCAGUGGGAGCCCCACCACUAAGCCAGUGGUGAACUCCACAUACGCAUCCUUUGCUGAGGAUACGGUUAACGGAGCGAAAGCGACGUUCAACCUCAAAACAAGCAGAGGGGGCUUAGUGGUGGGGUGACUGCGUACCUUUUGUAUAAUGGGUCAGCGACUUAUAUUCUGUAGCAAGGUUAACCGUAUAGGGGAGCCGGAGGGAAACCGAGUCUUAACCGGGCGUUAAGUUGCAGGGUAUAGACCCGAAACCCGGUGAUCUAGCCAUGGGCAGGUUGAAGGUUGGGUAACACUAACUGGAGGACCGAACCGACUAAUGUUGAAAAAUUAGCGGAUGACCUGUGGCUGGGGGUGAAAGGCCAAUCAAACCGGGAGAUAGCUGGUUCUCCCCGAAAGCUAUUUAGGUAGCGCCUCGUGAAUUCAUCUCCGGGGGUAGAGCACUGUUUCGGCUAGGGGGCCAUCCCGGCUUACCAACCCGAUGCAAACUGCGAAUACCGGAGAAUGUUAUCACGGGAGACACACGGCGGGUGCUAACGUCCGUCGUGAAGAGGGAAACAACCCAGACCGCCAGCUAAGGUCCCAAAGUCAUGGUUAAGUGGGAAACGAUGUGGGAAGGCCCAGACAGCCAGGAUGUUGGCUUAGAAGCAGCCAUCAUUUAAAGAAAGCGUAAUAGCUCACUGGUCGAGUCGGCCUGCGCGGAAGAUGUAACGGGGCUAAACCAUGCACCGAAGCUGCGGCAGCGACACUAUGUGUUGUUGGGUAGGGGAGCGUUCUGUAAGCCUGUGAAGGUGUGCUGUGAGGCAUGCUGGAGGUAUCAGAAGUGCGAAUGCUGACAUAAGUAACGAUAAAGCGGGUGAAAAGCCCGCUCGCCGGAAGACCAAGGGUUCCUGUCCAACGUUAAUCGGGGCAGGGUGAGUCGACCCCUAAGGCGAGGCCGAAAGGCGUAGUCGAUGGGAAACGGGUUAAUAUUCCCGUACUUGGUGUUACUGCGAAGGGGGGACGGAGAAGGCUAUGUUGGCCGGGCGACGGUUGUCCCGGUUUAAGCGUGUAGGUGUGUGUUCCAGGUAAAUCCGGUUCACUUUAACACUGAGGCGUGACGACGAGGCACUACGGUGCUGAAGCAACAAAUGCCCUGCUUCCAGGAAAAGCCUCUAAGCAUCAGGUAACAUCGAAUCGUACCCCAAACCGACACAGGUGGUCAGGUAGAGAAUACCAAGGCGCUUGAGAGAACUCGGGUGAAGGAACUAGGCAAAAUGGUGCCGUAACUUCGGGAGAAGGCACGCUGACACGUAGGUGAAGUGAUUUACUCACGGAGCUGAAGUCAGUCGAAGAUACCAGCUGGCUGCAACUGUUUAUUAAAAACACAGCACUGUGCAAACACGAAAGUGGACGUAUACGGUGUGACGCCUGCCCGGUGCCGGAAGGUUAAUUGAUGGGGUCAGCGCAAGCGAAGCUCCUGAUCGAAGCCCCGGUAAACGGCGGCCGUAACUAUAACGGUCCUAAGGUAGCGAAAUUCCUUGUCGGGUAAGUUCCGACCUGCACGAAUGGCGUAAUGAUGGCCAGGCUGUCUCCACCCGAGACUCAGUGAAAUUGAACUCGCUGUGAAGAUGCAGUGUACCCGCGGCAAGACGGAAAGACCCCGUGAACCUUUACUAUAGCUUGACACUGAACAUUGAGCCUUGAUGUGUAGGAUAGGUGGGAGGCUUUGAAGUGUGGACGCCAGUCUGCAUGGAGCCGACCUUGAAAUACCACCCUUUAAUGUUUGAUGUUCUAACGUGGACCCGUAAUCCGGGUUGCGGACAGUGUCUGGUGGGUAGUUUGACUGGGGCGGUCUCCUCCUAAAGAGUAACGGAGGAGCACGAAGGUUGGCUAAUCCUGGUCGGACAUCAGGAGGUUAGUGCAAUGGCAUAAGCCAGCUUGACUGCGAGCGUGACGGCGCGAGCAGGUGCGAAAGCAGGUCAUAGUGAUCCGGUGGUUCUGAAUGGAAGGGCCAUCGCUCAACGGAUAAAAGGUACUCCGGGGAUAACAGGCUGAUACCGCCCAAGAGUUCAUAUCGACGGCGGUGUUUGGCACCUCGAUGUCGGCUCAUCACAUCCUGGGGCUGAAGUAGGUCCCAAGGGUAUGGCUGUUCGCCAUUUAAAGUGGUACGCGAGCUGGGUUUAGAACGUCGUGAGACAGUUCGGUCCCUAUCUGCCGUGGGCGCUGGAGAACUGAGGGGGGCUGCUCCUAGUACGAGAGGACCGGAGUGGACGCAUCACUGGUGUUCGGGUUGUCAUGCCAAUGGCACUGCCCGGUAGCUAAAUGCGGAAGAGAUAAGUGCUGAAAGCAUCUAAGCACGAAACUUGCCCCGAGAUGAGUUCUCCCUGAGACUUUAGGUCUCCUGAAGGAACGUUGAAGACGACGACGUUGAUAGGCCGGGUGUGUAAGCGCAGCGAUGCGUUGAGCUAACCGGUACUAAUGAACCGUGAGGCUUAACCUUACAACGCCGAAG